GAUGAACGCUAGCGGCGUGCCUAAUACAUGCAAGUCGAGCGAACAGACGAGGAGCUUGUUCCUCUGACGUUAGCGGCGGACGGGCGAGUACCACGUGGAUAACCUACCUAUAAGACUGGGAUAAAUUCGGGAAACCGGAGCUAAUACCGGAUAAUAUAUUGACCCGCUUGGUUCAAUAGUGAAAGACGGUUUUGCUGUCACUUAUAGAUGGAUCCGCGCCGCAUUAGCUAGUUGGUAAGGUAACGGCUUACCAAGGCAACGAUGCGUAGCCGACCUGAGAGGGGGGUUGGCCACCCUGGAAUGGAGAUACGGUCCGGACUACUAUGGGAGGCAGCAGAAGGGAAUCUUACGCAAUGGGCGAAAGCCGGACGGGGCAAAGCCGCGUGAGGGAUGAAGGUCUUCGGAUCGUAAAACUCUGUUAUUAUGGAAGAACAAAUGUGUAAGUAACGAUGCACGUCUUGACGGUACCUAAUCAGAAAGCCACGGCUAACUACGUG
rnacentral:rRNA from 1 species